UGGCUGAUGGUGUAACGGUAGCACAAGUGAUUUUGGUUCAUUCAGUUAAGGUUCGAAUCCUUAUCGGCCAA
rnacentral:tRNA from 1 species